rnacentral:rRNA from 1 species
GAGGGGUGCNAACGUUAUUCGGAUUUAUUGGGUGUAAAGGGUGUGUAGACGGUUUAUUAAGUUCGUUGUUAAAUCUUUCGGCUCAACCGGAAGCUUGCGGUGAAAACUGAUAGACUAGAGGAUGAAAGAGAGGAGUGGAAUUCUCGGAGUAGCGGUAAAAUGCGUAGAUCUCGAGAGGAACACCGAUGGCGAAAGCAGCUCCUUGGUUCAUUCCUGACGUUGAAACACGAAAGCGUGGGGAGCAAACAGGAUUAGAUACCCUGGUAGUCCACGCCGUAAACGAUGAUCACUGGAUGUCAGUAUUGCUUUGCAAUAUUGGUAUCGAAGCUAACGCGUUAAGUGAUCCACCUGGGAACUACGAUCGCAAGAUUA